rnacentral:lncRNA from 1 species
AUUCCACAGUUGCUUCCUCAGAAUUGCAGUGUUGUAAGCAUAGAUAACACUCAACUGCACUCUGAUCUUGUUAACAGGAUCUUCAACCAGGCAGUGAAUAAGUUGCUCAGUUACACAAGAAACCUGUAACUGUAUAUGAGGCUUCCAAAUAAGCCAGAUUCUGCCAUUAACUGCAUUGGUGUAAUUAUAUUGAACCUUCCAACCUCUAGCAAUCUUA